UACGUAGGUGGCAAGCGUUGUUCGGAAUUAUUGGGCGUAAAGGGUGAGUAGGCGGUUUGUUAAGUCGGUUGUGAAAGCCCGGGGCUCAACCCCGGAGGGUCGACCGAUACUGGCAGGCUAGAGUACAGAAGAGGUAACUGGAAUUCCCGGUGUAGCGGUGAAAAUGCGUAGAUAUCGGGAGGAACACCUGAGGCGAAGGCGGGUUACUGGGCUGAUACUGACGCUGAAAUCACGAAAGCUAGGGGAGCAAACGGG
rnacentral:rRNA from 1 species